rnacentral:rRNA from 1 species
GACGAGCGCUGGCGGCGUGCCUAAUACAUGCAAGUUGAGCGCUGAAGGUUGGUACUUGUACCAACUGGAUGAGCAGCGAACGGGUGAGUAACGCGUGGGGAAUCUGCCUUUGAGCGGGGGACAACAUUUGGAAACGAAUGCUAAUACCGCAUAAAAACUUUAAACACAAGUUUUAAGUUUGAAAGAUGCAAUUGCAUCACUCAAAGAUGAUCCCGCGUUGUAUUAGCUAGUUGGUGAGGUAAAGGCUCACCAAGGCGAUGAUACAUAGCCGACCUGAGAGGGUGAUCGGCCACAUUGGGACUGAGACACGGCCCAAACUCCUACGGGAGGCAGCAGUAGGGAAUCUUCGGCAAUGGACGAAAGUCUGACCGAGCAACGCCGCGUGAGUGAAGAAGGUGUUCGGAUCGUAAAACUCUGUUGGUAGAGAAGAACGUUGGUGAGAGUGGAAAGCUCAUCAAGUGACGGUAACUACCCAGAAAGGGACGGCUAACUACGUGC